GCGGGGUUACAGUUCUGCUUUGUAAUAGACUAAGCGAGGAAUCCAAAGCGUACCUCUGUGGCGUGGUCUCACUAAGGUUGGAGGUCCGCAAAAGUGUCGGAGGCCAGCUCAAUCUGAAUUAUUGGAAGGAAGGAAACCUAGGGCUGUUGCCUGCUUUCGCCUUCUCAUGUUCGUUGUCCCUGCUCCAGCGCUAGGUGGCGCCAGUGCACACCCGCUGUAGCGCUCCAACUUUAACCACGCAAACGAGGAAAAAUAUCUCACCCAGAGGAUGCGAAAACUUGCAGAGGAAAGAAACCAGGAUGCGUGAAUGAAAAUGGAGCUGAACCACCCUGCUAGUCAGAACCAUUCCUAUCUCUGGUCUGUUACAAGAGUAAAAAGUCUCUAUUUCCUUUAAAUCAAUA